rnacentral:misc_RNA from 1 species
GAUAAUAGGUAAUUUAUGAUUUGAUGUUUGGUGAAUUUAUAAUACUUUGUUAUGAAAAAUUGAUAGAUUGUAGAAAUCUUUUGUUCAUAACUAUUUUAUAAAAAGUCUAUAAUAUUCAUAGUAGGAAAGAAAAGGUAAAUAAGUAAUUAGUUUUCUAAAAUUCAAAAACCACAUCAAUAAACGGUUUUUAGUUUUUGAAAAACAAAAAACCAAAAAUAAAAAAUGUUUCCGAGCAGGCCCUCAGGAACUAAAGGUUUUCACUGUGAGCAAUUCAUAAAACUAAGAAAGGGGAUUGUUAUAAUUUUUGUCAAUACAAACACUUGAUUUAUAUCAAAUGGUUUUUUCUAAAAAUU